AGGGAAACUUCAGGAGACAGGUGGAGAGGAAGGAGGAGUGGGGAGAGAUGUCAGCUACUCUUACCCUUUUGACGGAGAUCUCCAUCUCAGUGAUGGGUGUUGGCACCUGGGAAAGAAGGAAGACCUCCCCUGCGUCCCUGUUUUCAGCCUCUUCCAGACUCUGGGUGGAAACCAUCUUUUUCCCAGCCCACCCACCCGUCCCCAGGAAGAUGACGUCAUAGGACCCGUCCUCUGCCUCCACGCGGUCCACCACGAUCUGACGCAGCUGCUGGGCCAGCUCUCACCACACAGACGCGGCCCACGCGGCUGACAGUGACACGGCCCGGGCCUCCAUCAGGUGAAGGGACUGUCUCCGAGAAGAAGAAGUACACCUUGUCAUCGUCCUGGUCGGAGUUGUCAGGGAUCCGGGUGGCCAUCACAAACCUGGGCUCUGUGAGUUAACACGGUGAAGCUGGUGGGGGCCUCACAGAGGAGGAACA